GAUGAAGAACGCAGCGAAAUGCGAUAAGUAAUGCGAAUUGCAGAAUUUCCGUGAGUCAUCGAAUCUUUGAACGCACAUUGCGCCCACUGGUAUUCCGGGGGGCAUGCCUGUCCGAGCGUCAUUGCACACCUCAAGCGCGGCUUGCGUGUUGGGCACUGUCCCCGGUGGGGACAAGCCCGAAAGGCAGUGGCGGCGUCGACCUGAUAGCCUAAGCGUAUGGGGCUCUGUCACACGCUGAAGGCUGGGGACCGGCGCCGGCCGAUUUCAAUCUUCUUCUAGGUUGACCUCGGAUCAGGUAGGGAUACCCGCUGAACUUAAGCAUAUCAAUAAGCGGAGGA
rnacentral:misc_RNA from 1 species